CCUACGGGAGGCAGCAGUGAGGAAUAUUGGUCAAUGGGCGUAAGCCUGAACCAGCCAAGUCGCGUGAGGGAUGACGGUCCUAUGGAUUGUAAACCUCUUUUAUCAGGGAGCAAAGGACGCCACGCGUCGCGUUCCGAAAGUACCCGAAGAAAAAGCAUCGGCUAACUCCGUGCCAGCAGCCGCGGUAAUACGGAGGAUCCGAGCGUUAUCCGGAUUUAUUGGGUUUAAAGGGUGCGCAGGCGGAAGAUCAAGUCAGCGGUAAAAUUGAGGGGCUCAACCUCUUAGAGCCGUUGAAACUGGGUGUCUUGAGUGUGUGAGAGGCAGGCGGAAUGCGUGGUGUAGCGGUGAAAUGCAUAGAUAUCACGCAGAACUCCGAUUGCGAAGGCAGCAUACCGGGGCUUAACUGACGCUGAUGCACGAAAGUGUGGGGAUCGAACAGGAUUAGAUACCCGUGUAGUC
rnacentral:rRNA from 1 species